AAUAAGGUGCCUGAUAAAAGGGCUAUCUUGAUAGGAUAGAUUAUGUAUUAAUUUACCCUUAUUA
rnacentral:tRNA from 1 species